GAUCCACAUGUGCCUUGGGAAGUGUGGUCUGGAAAAGGUUCUUAUAUUGUGUUUGCUUGGCAGCAGCCACUUGAGGUACAGGACAGUGUUGUCUCCAGACCCAAGGGCAUGCUCUGCAGCACCAGCAGUUCUCACAUGGAGUUUCUACAGUUCUGCUUGCUGUGACCUUCUGGGCCAUCAGGGAAACACAACGGGGUCCUGCCAGCCUCGUGCGAUGAACCAUCACUUGCCAGGAUUCACACCAGGCUUCCUGGGAUGCUGUGUUGCUGCUUGGAAUCCUGAUUGCUUCUGCUUGCUCACUGUGCUGCUGGCAGGAUGGGAUUGAUGUCCAGUUUGGCACAUUGGGCAGAGCCAAGCCCAUAACCAUCCUCUGUGCCCUUGGCAGACUGGGGAACCAAGCUAGACCCCUCUCUCUAGAGGGGUUCCAGGUUCUGGGCACAGGAGAGGUCCUGUCAGCAAUGGGCCGUCUGGAUGACCAUGCCAAGAGGAGGAUUGUGGAGCUGCGCAGGGCUGGGCUGAGCUUCCGCAAGAUCAAGAAGGUGCUGGAGCUGGAUGACAUCCGGGUGACGCCGCAGGCCGUGUACCUCUUCCUCAAGAGGAAGAGCGUGGAACCAGGCCAGGACACCAAGGAAGGCAUCCAGAUUGUCGGUGUGGCCUCGCUCUGCAAGGACGGUGGGCAGCUUGGGGACACUCUGCCUCUGGGGCUGGCCCCUGGGAAUGGUGAUGACAGUUCCACAGGCAAAGCCCUGACUCCAGGGACUGCUCUGGGGGGCCCGGCCCCCCUGCCCCAGAUACUGCCAGGCCGAGUGCAGCUGGUCACACCCCCGACCCAGAACUCAGCCCUGAUGGUGAAAAAGAAGACUCUGGACAGGGCUAUCCUGCAGAAAAAGGUCAAAGAUGCCAGCACUCAGACUGGCUUGCCAAACCCUGUGGGUCCAGGACAUCACAACCUUGCUUGGGGUGGAACUGUGCCCCCCACUGCUCCCAGCUUCCCCAGCAUCACUGAGAAGCUGGAUGCUGUACAGAGGGAGGUGCAGAAGCUGAGCCAGGCCCUGCAUACAGUAUUGGAGCGGCAGUGCCACCUGGAACGCCAGCAGGAGCACCAACAGCGGCUGCAGCAGGAGGUGCUGAUGACACUGCAGCAGCUCAGCUCCACUGUGAGCCAUGGCUCUGUGCCAGCCACCCAGCCCUGUGGCCCCUUCAGCAGUGUGGCCGAGCCCUUGCCCACCAUGCCAAACUUCAGCCAGUUCAAGAUGGAGCUGAUCUGA
rnacentral:lncRNA from 1 species